AACGAACGCUGGCGGCGUGCCUAACACAUGCAAGUCGAACGAGAAAGUCCCGCAAGGGAUGAGUAAAGUGGCGCACGGGUGAGUAACACGUAGGUAACCUGCCUCUAAGAUCGGGAUAACCUGUCGAAAGACGAGCUAAUACCGGAUAAGACCACAGUCCCCUCGGGGACAGGGGUCAAAGGUAGCCUCUGCUUGCAAGCUAUCACUUAGAGAUGGGCCUGCGUACCAUUAGCUAGUUGGUAGGGUAACGGCCUACCAAGGCAAAGAUGGUUAGCUGGUCUGAGAGGAUGAUCAGCCACACUGGAACUGAGACACGGUCCAGACUCCUACGGGAGGCAGCAGUGGGAAUCUUGCGCAAUGGGCGAAAGCCUGACGCAGCAACGCCGCGUGGGU
rnacentral:rRNA from 1 species